rnacentral:rRNA from 1 species
UACGAAGGGGGCUAGCGUUGUUCGGAAUUACUGGGCGUAAGCGCGCGCAGGCGGUCUUCCAAGUCAGUGGUGAAAGCCCGGAGCUCAACUCCGGAACUGCCAUUGAAACUGUUGGACUUGAGUACGAGAGAGGUGAGUGGAAUUCCCAGUGUAGAGGUGAAAUUCGUAGAUAUUGGGAAGAACACCGGUGGCGAAGGCGGCUCACUGGCUCGUAACUGACGCUCAGGCGCGAAAGCGUGGGGAUCAAACAGGGAU